CGUUAGGUGACUGAUUAAAGUAUAGGUCUUUUAAACCUAGUAUAGUAUAUUUACUUCUAAUGA
rnacentral:tRNA from 1 species